GACGAACGCUGGCGGCGUGCUUAACACAUGCAAGUCGAACGGUAAGGCCCUUCGGGGUACACGAGUGGCGAACGGGUGAGUAACACGUGGGUGAUCUGCUCUGCACUUCGGGAUAAGCCUGGGAAACUGGGUCUAAUACCGGAUAGGACCACUGCCUGCAUGGGUGGUGGUGGAAAGCUUUUGCGGUGUGGGAUGGGCCCGCGGCCUAUCAGCUUGUUGGUGGGGUGAUGGCCUACCUAGGCGACGACGGGUAGCCGGCCUGAGAGGGUGACCGGCCACACUGGGACUGGGAUACGGCCCAGACUCCUACGGGAGGCAGCAGUGGGGAAUAUUGCACAAUGGGCGCAAGCCUGAUGCAGCGACGCCGCGUGAGGGAUGACGGCCUUCGGGUUGUAAACCUCUUUCAGCACCGACGAAGCGCAAGUGACGGUAGGUGCAGAAGAAGGACCGGCCAACUACGUGCCAGCCGCCGCCGUAA
rnacentral:rRNA from 1 species